AUGGUGCUAUUUGUUGGUGUAGAAAAUCCCUAUUAUUAUUUUUUUUCCUCUUUCACUUCACAGGAACUACAUUCUCGGGAAGUCAAGCUUUCUCCAGACUCUGUAACUCAAAUACUACAAGCUUCUGCAGUGAAGAUAGUAAAGCUGGAAGCUCUGAGGCAAGCAUGUCUGUACAGAGUCCUGGAUCUCUACAACAACCUUCAGAUUCUGACUUGGCCAGAAAGCGUGACAAGGAUCCUGAACAGCUUUGACUACAAAACUAAUGGUGAAGAAGUAGCUGAAGAAGUCGCUCAGACUAAAGAGAAACAGCAAAUGGCAAGAGCUCUGGCUUUUCUCCAGGAGCAUCAUCAAGAAGGGGAUUUGAUUGUGGGUUUAAAGGAAGAGUCAGAAGCUGAGCUGAGAAACAUGCAGGCAGAAUUUAGACUGGAACUUCACAGACAGACAGAAGAGAAGGUACAUCAGCUGAAGCAUUCGUGUUUUCAUUUGCUAACAGAGGUAUGCGACGGGAUGAGACUUCAGUAAAAUUUCUGGUUAUUUUAGGUUCAGCAGUGUUUUAUGUGGUUCACAACUAUUCAAGUCAUGUUAUACAAGAAAGGAUUUUCCAGCUCUAGCAGGACAUGCUUUGGGAAUCUUUUCAAAGUCCCUUUUAAUUUGAUGGACUCCAUUAUUCUUCAGGGUAGUUCACUGUUUUUCCCUGGACUCCUAUUUGCAAACCUGCAGUGAGAAUUGGAAUACUUCCACACUUUCCAACUGUGCAAGUAAAGGAAUCUAUAUGAUUUCGUAAUGUUUUCUUCACAGAUACAAGCCAAAGAAAUGCAAGUGAUCCAAGAGACCGAAGGAGAAGAAUUAGGGAAUUUGGUGGCAUAUUUCAUCCUAUCUCAGAGACACCUGAGGCAAACAGUCGUAAUGCUACAAGAUUGCUACAGGCUCCAGAAGGCUACACUGAGGUCCCAAAAAGAGGGCACUGACCUGGAACAGCUUGCUGUAGAAGUAAUAUUCUCCUGAUAGUUUGGUUUAGAAUCCAGAACUCCUCCAGUGAGCUGUUACAAAGCUUUAAAGUUUAUAAAUGUCUCCUCCGGAAUUGUUUCUGUUUAUAGCAAAUGGACAGUUUGCUCCAGAUUUAAAAAAAAAAUAACAUACUGUAGCCUGCAACAGUUGUGUUUAUGAAGAAAUGGAAAAUAUCAUGGGUUUAGCUACUAAAGAUCGGACACUUCAAA
rnacentral:lncRNA from 1 species